UCCCGUUUACAAGUCUCCACCACCUCCAACUCCUAUUUACAAGUCGCCACCACCACCUAAGACACCACACUACCCUCCACACACCCCAGUUUAUAAGUCUCCUCCUCCACACCAUCAUCAUCCCGUUUACAAGUCUCCACCACCUCCAACUCCUGUUUACAAGUCGCCAUCACCACCCAAGGACCCACACUACCCUCCACACACCCCAGUUUACAAGUCACCACCACCACCAACUCCGGUUUACAAGUCUCCACCACCACCCAAAGAGCCACACUACCCACCACAUACCCCAGUAUACAAGUCUCCACCACCACCAACUCCAGUGUACAAGUCGCCACCACCACCCAAGAGGCCAUACCAUCCUCCACCAACACCAUAUCAUCCCACACCAGUUUAUAAGUCUCCACCACCACCAACUCCAGUUUACAAGUCACCACCGAAGCCAUACCAUCCUGCACCCGUAUACAAGUCUCCACCACCACCAACUCCCAUUUACAAGUCCCCACCACCACCAGUGAAGCCAUACUAUCCUGCACCAGUAUACAAGUCUCCACCACCCCCAACUCCCGUUUACAAGUCCCCACCACCACCAGUGAAGCCAUACCAUCCCUCACCAACACCAUACCACCCUACACCAGUAUACAAGUCUCCACCACCCCCAACUCCCGUUUACAAGUCCCCACCACCACCAGUGAAGCCAUACCAUCCCUCACCAACACCAUACCACCCUACACCAGUAUACAAGUCUCCACCACCCCCAACUCCCGUUUACAAGUCCCCACCACCACCAGUGAAGCCAUACCAUCCCUCACCAACACCAUACCACCCUACACCAGUAUACAAGUCUCCACCACCCCCAACUCCCGUUUACAAGUCCCCACCACCACCAGUGAAGCCAUACCAUCCCUCACCAACACCAUACCACCCUACACCAGUAUACAAGUCUCCACCACCCCCAACUCCCGUUUACAAGUCCCCACCACCACCAGUAAAACCAUACCAUCCUUCACCAACACCAUACCAUCCUAGACCAGUAUACAAGUCUCCACCACCACCAACUCCAGUCUACAAGUCUCCACCACCAACCCACUAUGUUUACUCCUCUCCCCCUCCUCCCUACCAUUACUAAGAAGUGACUUCAUUAUAUCUGAGGUAAUUAAGAUGAACUUAAACCUUUAGAAACAUUUAACUAAAAUGCAAUGCAAUAAUAAGUUGAACAAUUAUUUCUUCAUGCAAAACAUUAAUAAAAAGACUUAUGUUUGUUUACUUCUUAUUUGGUUAGCUUCUUUUAUUUAUAUGUUCUCAUUCACAAUAUUAUAUUCUUAUGCAGGAAAAGCAGAAUGUUGAGCUGAAAGAAAGGCAUUUUCCAUUUUCAAGAGACAAUGAAAAAAGAAGAAAAUUAUAGUUAUAGUAAUAAAUAAUAAGGCUUACAGAAGACGAAGUUCUUUUGUAGCUUCAUGUAUCUAAGUUAGUGUCUUAGUGAUAUUGUUUUGUACUCUAUUUUUAUAUUUUACUUUUAUGUCUUUGUGUAUGUUUGCUCAGUUUCAAUCUCCUUGCAAAAUGCAGAGAUUAAUUAUGAGAUGAAUAAAAUAAGUUAUUACUACUCCUAUAUAUGUUUUAAUUUCUCAUCACAAUAUUACGUUUGUUUUCAUUUUAUGUGGUGAUAUUUUAAGUACUAAAAUAAAGUUAUUUAAUUUUGAUGUGAACACAAAAUUUACAAUUUUUUCAAAUAGAAUUAUUUACAUCUAUAUAUAUAUGAAACAUCUACAAGUGGCUCCCAUGUUAGCAUACUAUGGGAAAGCAAUGGAUCGAGAAAAUAUUGUUAGAAACACAAAAUACUACUUCCUUUGAAUAUAUAUAAUGUAGUUUGAUUUAACACGAUUUUUUUAAAAAAAACUUUGAAAACUUAUGAUAAUAGCAUACUCAAAUAACCAACGAAUCUCAUGUACUUACGGUUAUAAUUCAAUCAAAUUCAAGUAUAAUAGUCCAUUUACGGUAAUGAAAUAAAAAAUUAUUUGAUAAUCACAUAAUUCGUUAUCAAAUUUUUGUAAGAUAAUAUGAUUUAAGAAACUUAAACAAAAUAUUACUAAUAUAAUCUAAAAUAAUUUAAAAUAAUAUUUUAAAAUUUCCACACAUCGCGUGGAUACGUAUAAGAUGACAUCCACCCAUUUUGACAUCACCCACAUGCUACAUGUCUCUAAGACUGAUAAAUAAUGAGGUCUACUCUCAGUCAAAAUUAAAUGAUUGUAGACCACAUCCAGAGUUCCCCAUAGUCAACAAUUCGAUCCUCCGCGUUUGCGGAUCUUCGUUUUUUGGAUUCGAUUUUAUUAAACUUCGAUUUGAUUCUUUAGAUUUUAGUUUUGAAAUUUAUGUGUACGGAAUGUGAACUGAACUAAUUCGUAUAAUUAAACUUCUUAUAAUUUUUCUUUUUAAAAAAAAUAGUUUAAAAUAAAAAUUAUAUUUCAACAAAAUUUAAUGAAAAAUUAUUUAAAUUUAUUGGGUGACUUUCUAAGUCAAAUAUCAAUAGUUGAGUGAUUUUGUAGGUAAAAUAUUCAAAUUGAGUGAUUUUGAGAUUAUAAAAGAAAAUUGAGCGAUUUUAUGUGAGAAGAAAUCGAGGCUUAGUUGAGUGAUUUUGUAGGUAAAAUAUUCAAAUUGAGUGAUUUUGAGAUUAUAAAAGAAAAUUGAGCGAUUUUAUGUGAGAAGAAAUCGAGGCUUAGUUGAGUGAUUUUUUGUGAGAAAAAUUCUUAGUUAAGUGACUUUGGUAUUAUAAAAAAAAGUUGAAUGACUUCCUAUAAAAAUAACUACUAAUUGAGUGACCAUCUGAAAAAUUAACUCCUAUAGAAUUAGAAUUACAAAAUUAAAAGUAAGUUUAUUUCAAAGAUAAGGACAUUAUUAGUAAAAUUCAGAUUGAUAUUGAGUAACCUGAAAAAGAUUAUCUUUAGACUGAAUGUGACGAGAAUACUUGUCUUUAAUAGAAUAUGAACAAAUGUUUGAAAGAGGCAACAAGGUUAAAAAAAACACUUAUUUUACCUCAAAGCCAGCUAAAAAUGUAUGGUAAAAAUAGAUUAGAAACUUACUAAUUUUAUUUUGUAUAAAUAGCUGGUGACCAUUUUUUAAUGAAAAAAUAGUGAUUUUUUAAUAACGAAUAUACAAUAACUCGUUUCUUAGGCGUAAAAUGUUAAGACAUGUUAGCCUCACUCAGUUGAAUAAAUUGCUCACCAAGAACUUAAUAAUUGAAUUUCCUAAAACAAAGUUUAAAAAAUAAAAAUGAUUAAACAAAUAAUCAGUAAUAAUAAUAAAAAAAAAUUUAGAUUUUUUAUUAAAAUAAAAUUAGAUUUAUUAAAAUAAAAAAAAGCAACCUACCUACACAAUUUUUUUUUUUUUUUUUUUUUUAAAAAAAGAGUAAAGGAAAGAGAAUAGAAGAUGUUUGACUGGUUAAGACAAGUAUUUGUCUAAUAUAAGUAUGUCGGUAAUCACAAUGUAGACUAGAUCUGUACUUGUUUAUACAUCCAUAUCCCUUAAUCUUAGGACGAUUAAAAAAUUAUUAAUUUAGUUUAACUAAUUAAUGGGAUCUUAUAAAUACAUUAGUAAUUUUACUUUUGUCGGUGAUUAAGUUAAUGCUAAUACUUAAUUGUUUUUUCAAUUAAAAUGUCAAAGUCGUUAGAUGGAAUCGUCCAUGAAGAUGGUCCCAGAGUUCAAUUAUUGAAUAUUAUCUUCUUCUUUUUUUUAACUUUAAGAAUUAAAGUGGAAUUCAAUUACUUUAUAAAUGUAUGACAACUUGGCAAUAAAUCAUUGAAGUCCAGGAAGAACAAAAACCAACCACAAUUUAGAUUAAUUUAAUUUUGUUAAAACUACAUAAUGAGACAUAUAUAUUUCAGUAUGUCAUUACUAUAUAUAUUAUUAUUAUCUAUAUUUUAAAAAUAUUACGUAUUUUACCAUUAAUUAAAAGUUUUGCUACGUAUUUUACACUUAGAUACAUGUAUUUUUGCUAUCAGAUACACAAAAAUAAGGAGAGAGACAAGCGAGAUUCGUACGCAGAGGCGGAUCUAGUAAUACCUAAGGGGUGUCACGACUCACGGGACACGACUUCAUCGAAAAAAAUUGCUAAAUAUGUAUAUAUAAUUAAAAAUACAGCAGAAAGAUUGAGAUAUAUAUAAAUUUUUGUGAUAAAUUUUGAUUCAAAAGUAUGUGUAGCGUAGAUGGUUAAUUAGUGCAACAGCCCUCUAUAGACAAGCUUACAUUAUUUUAAUUUUUUUCUUUAUUUCUUCCAUUGUUAUUCCUUUUCUUCUUUUCCCUUUUAUUUCUUCUUCUUUUGAUAUAUAUAUAUAUAUAUUAGUUAAUGAGAUUAUUUCAAAACAAAAAAUUAUCCAGAAAAAGUUGAAAUAUUUUUUUUUUUGGAAAAGAUAUAGUGUUAUAUGUUAAUUGUGUUAUAUAUAUAUAAUACAUUAAAAAGUGAUUCACAUAUAAUCUGAGAUAUCAGAUACAUGUAAGUGUGAAGAGCGAGAUGGAAUAAAGGCAAGGAAGGCAAGCGAGAUUUGCUAUGUAUCCUAGAUACAUGCGAAUUCACUUAGAUACAAUGUAUCUAGAACCAGUGGCGGAGCUAGAAUUUUUAAUAAGGGGGUUAAAAAUCUGAAGAACUAAACACACGGACUAACCGAAGAGGGUUCAACAUCUACUAUAUACACAUAAAAAAUAAUUUUAAACAUGUAUAAAUAGUAAUAUCUUCCGCCGAAGGGGAUUUGGAUGAACCCCCUAAAAGAAGGCUGGCUCCGCCCCUGUCUAGAACUAAUUACACCUAAAUUUGACCUACGUAUUCGAGAUACAUGUAUUUCAAGGCACCAAAAUCUGAUAAGAUAUAUAUAAUAUUACAAACUAGAGGAUAUCUAAGUAGUUAACUUCCAAAUUAGUGGGAUUUAUGUAAAUUUUCUAUUAAUUUACGUGCUCAGGAUUAGCAAAAAGAGGAGGAAAACGAGUUUAGUAAAUUAGUAAUUUGUGGGAAUGAAAGAAAAUAGAAAUUCGAGUUAUGAGGACAAUAUUAUAUUAACGUAAAACUGAAUUUAGAUUAUUGAUUUCCUUUUCCAUUUUAUAUAUAUGUAUAUACAUCUAUGUAUUUUUUGUUUUAUUUUCCUUUUGAUAAUAAUACACCAUUUUGCUAAAAUAUUUACGACUCGAUUAACUUUCUUGUAGAAAUGUCAAACCUUCCAAGUAAUAGUGCUUGAUAUAUUGUGAAUAUGAGUAAUGAUGUUUUUCAUUUUCCAAAGGAUACCACUAAAAUAGUUCUUUCUAACAUUCAUGCAUAAUUUUUUAUGCAAGAAAAACAUUUUCAGUAAUAAAUCUACGAAACUUGUUAUUUGAUCCUCAUAGAUAAUAUUACGCAAAAUAUUAUAAAAUUUAGUAUUAGUGCUUAUGAAAACAAUUUUGUUAGAACAAUAUAUCUAUUAUACGUACAAAAAGUUCAGAUCGUUCUUUAUUCAUUGAGCAUAAUUUGAAUAAAUUUUCUUUUAUCAGAUUAUUACCAAUAUAAUCAUAGAAAGUCAAAUAAGAAAACUACUUUUCCUUGUUACUAUUUCUUUGAUUAACUGGGAUUAAUAGAGAUGAGUAGCUAUCAUUAUUAAUCGGAUGCAUUUGACUCGGCACACAUAAAUUACUUUCUAUAAUUUAAUAUUAAUUUUAUACACUCUUUCAAAUAAUUUUUUAAAUAUAAAAUAUAUUAUGGUAGAUUUUAGGGGUGUCAAAAUCAAGUGAAUUUGUCAAACUCCCCUAUUCCGUUCUUGAGCAGAUUUCAUUUAUUAACUUAACUUAAUUCAACCCAAUUUAUUUUAAUUCAUAUUAAAAAUUGAGUUGAUGUGUAAUUCACAUUAGCUUAUAAUUUUAUUUUUAAAAAAAAUUCUUUUAAUUUGAUAUGUUAUACAUAGUCACAAUAAAAAAAAAAACUUAUUCGGUACUAAAAAUUUACAAAAGAGCAAACAAAACAAUUAAACUUUAGUAAAAAUUGGAGGGGUUAAAUUAUAAGCUGAAUUUUAACUUAAUUCAGUCCAAUCCAUUUCAAUCCAAAUAGCUAAUAACCCAUUCAUUUAUUAACUCAGUAUAAUUCAAUCUGUUCAGAUUCAGUUCAACUCUCCUAUUUGAAAUUUCUGGUAGAUUUCAAUCAAUCAAAAUUUGGACACCAAAACGAAUUCAUUCAUUUCAUCCACCAAAUUAUUAAUAAGUGGCACCAUCUUAGCUACCCAGUUCAUUGUAUUAAUCUUUAGCAUUAAAUUUAGGCAAAAUUUGUUCAGUAUUGGGACCUAAAUAUUUAACUUUCCAAUUCCUUUAGGGGUCAAUUUGAUUGAUUAUAAUGAGUGAAUUAUAUUAUAAAAACUGAAAUAAUAAUUAAUGUUUUUGUAGAUAAUAUUAAAUUCUUUUAUCAUGACUACAUUUGGUGUUCAUUGAAUUGGAAAUAAGAUAUAUACGGUAUAAUAUAGAAUUUUUUACUUGAUUAGUUGAUUUUGUAUUAAUGAAAUUUGGACAAAUUUUAAUUUUUAAUUUUACCUUUAAUUUCUUAAAGAACUUAUAGUUUGGUUGUAUUAUCAUGGAAUUAGCUAAUUAAUCAAGGAUUGCUAUCCCAUAUACAACUUUGGUACAAUUAUACAGAAUUAUGAUAUAAUUAAUUUUGAAAUUACUUAUAUUCAGAAACUAAAGUUUCAAUCAAACGAUAAAUGAUUGAAUAUUUUAUCUCAAAAUUAGUAUUCUUAUUAUUAAUAGCAUACCAAUCAACGAACCUAAAUUUUGAUUUAGUCACUCCGGUCCUUUUCUUUUAAUCUUUUCACAAACCAACUACAUUUGAUUGCAUUAACUAUAAAGGCCAUUUGCAUUAUUUUACAUAUCAAUUAAUAUUAUUAAACUAAAUUUAUCUUUAAUGACUGAUUUAAAUGCAUACAUAUUUUCUCACCAACAUGACAUAUAUAAUUUAGGCUCAUUAAAAUUAAAUGUUGCUUCAUGUGGUGUGUUCAAUUGAUUAGACUAUCACACCUUUGACAAGUUCAAAUAUAUUUUUCGCAAAUGAGCAAUGCUAAAAUGUUUGAGAAUAAUGUUGUUGAUGAAUAUUACACCCUCCUCGUAAUGUUUUGUUAGCUUACAUAUGAAUGUGAAAUAUUAUUUUUACUUAUUUAUCGAACACUAAAAAAUAAGUAAGAAACUUAUUUAUGUGAGAUGAUAUUUUCCUCCGUACCUAAAAAGUGCAUUAAUUUAUGAAGCUAAAAUCGUGCAAAGUUGAGGCAUCCACGCAUUUUUUUGGUAAGAUUAUGUAAGAAGAAGAAGACUUUCAAUCUCUUUGAAUUAUUGCAUCACAAACAAUAUAGCUGCCUUAAUAAUUUAUUCAUUUGCUUAGCUUGAUGCCUCUAUCCAUCAAAUAAAAUAAAAUAUACAAACUAAAGUCAAAUUGAGCAAACAACAUGACAAAAUCAAAUAAAAAUGCAUAACUCUAGCAUUUUACCUACAUUUAUAAAAUCUUUGUAAGGGUAAUUGUGUAAAUGAAAACUAUAUAAAGGGGUUUGAGUGAAGCUUAAGAGGACAACAACUUUCUCCUUUGUUUCAAAUAUGGGGAAAAUGGCCUCUCUAGUUGCCACUCUUUUAGUGGUUUUAGUGUCACUUAGCUUAGCAUCUGAAAGUUUAGCAAAUUAUCAAUACUCAUCUCCCCCACCACCAAAGGAGCCAUACCACCCUUCACCAACACCAUAUCAUCCCGCACCGGUUUACAAAUCUCCACCGCCGCCAACUCCGGUUUACAAAUCUCCACCACCACCCAAAGAGCCAUACUACCCUCCACACACUCCGUUGUACAAGUCGCCACCACCACCCAAGGAGCCAUACUACCCUCCACACACCCCAGUCUACAAGUCACCACCUCCACCAACUCCUGUUUACAAGUCGCCACCACCACCCAAGGAGCCAUACUACCCUCCACACACCCCAACCUACAAGUCGCCACCUCCACCAACUCCCGUUUACAAGUCACCACCACCUCCAAAAGAGCCAUACUACCCUCCACACACACCAACCUACAAGUCGCCACCACCACCAAAUGAGCCAUACUACCCUUCCCACACCCCAACCUACAAGUCGCCACCUCCACCAACUCCCAUUUACAAGUCACCACCACCUCCCAAGGAGCCAUACUACCCUCCACACACACCAACCUACAAGUCGCCACCACCACCAAAUGAGCCAUACUACCCUUCCCACACCCCAACCUACAAGUCGCCACCUCCACCAACUCCCAUUUACAAGUCACCACCACCUCCCAAGGAGCCAUACUACCCUCCACACACACCAACCUACAAGUCGCCACCACCACCAAAUGAGCCAUACUACCCUUCCCACACCCCAACCUACAAGUCGCCACCUCCACCAACUCCCAUUUACAAGUCACCACCACCUCCCAAGGAGCCAUACUACCCUCCACACACACCAACCUACAAGUCGCCACCACCACCCAAGGAGCCAUACUACCCUCCACACACCCCAACAUACAAGUCGCCACCUCCACCAACUCUCGUUUACAAGUCGCCACCACCAUCCAAGGAGCCAUACUACCCUCCACACACCCCAACAUACAAGUCGCCACCUCCACCAACUCUCGUUUACAAGUCGCCACCACCAUCCAAGGAGCCAUACUACCCUCCACACACCCCAACAUACAAGUCGCCACCUCCACCAACUCUCGUUUACAAGUCGCCACCACCAUCCAAGGAGCCAUACUACCCUCCACACACCCCAACAUACAAGUCGCCACCUCCACCAACUCUCGUUUACAAGUCGCCACCACCAUCCAAGGAGCCAUACUACCCUCCACACACCCCAACAUACAAGUCGCCACCUCCACCAACUCUCGUUUACAAGUCGCCACCACCAUCCAAGGAGCCAUACUACCCUCCACACACCCCAACAUACAAGUCGCCACCUCCACCAACUCUCGUUUACAAGUCGCCACCACCAUCCAAGGAGCCAUACUACCCUCCACACACCCCAACAUACAAGUCGCCACCUCCACCAACUCUCGUUUACAAGUCGCCACCACCAUCAAAGGAUCCAUACUACCCUCCACACACCCCAACCUACAAGUCGCCACCUCCACCAACUCUCGUUUACAAGUCGCCACCACCAUCCAAGGAGCCAUACUACCCUCCACACACUCCAGUCUACAAGUCGCCACCACCACCAACUCCUGUCUACAACUCUCCUCCACCACCUUACUAUCUUUACACUCCCCCUCCUCCCUACCAUUACUAAGAAGCCACUUCAUUAUAUCGAGGUAAUUAAUACAAAUUAAAACUUUUUAAAAUGAUAUGUCUAAAAUGCAAAGCAAUAAGUUGCACAAUUUCUUCAUGCAAAUCAUUAUAAUAUAUAUAUACCUAUGCUGUCUACUUCUUAUUUGGUUAGCUUCUACUAUAUGUUCUCAUCACAAUAUUAUAUUCUUAUGCAGGAAAAGUAGAAUGGUGAGCUGAAAGAAAGGUAUUUUCCAUUUUCAAGAGACAAUGAAAAAAAGAAGAAAGUUAUAUUAUAGUAAAUAAUAAGCCCCACAUAAGGCGAAGUUCUUUUGUAGCUUCAUGUUAUCUAAGCUAGUGAUAUUGUUUGUAUUUUUACUUUUAUGUCUUUGUGUAUGUUUGCUCAGUUUCAAUCUCCUUGCAAAAUGCAGAGAUUAAUUAUGAGAUGAAUAAAAUAAGUUAUUACUACUAUAGUACAGUUUUAUGUUACUCUCUUCGAUCUUAAUUAGUCUUUUUUUUUUUCUUAUUUCGUCAUCUUAUCAAUUCAUUUAGGCGAGGCUCAUCGAUUACACUAAAUCAAUCUAGAUAAAAUUGAUGACAAAUUUAACGUUAAGAUACCAUAGAACCUCACAAACAAUUUACAGAGGAAUCUUAAUACCAAUUGGUUGAUAACCUGAACGAUCACCUUGUUAGUGAGGAUUUGAAUCCCCAAUCCCGUCCUUCAUUUCCCACAAAUUAUUUUUUAAGAAAGAAGAAGUAACAAUCAACAUAAAUAUUAUAUCUAAAGUCAUAAUAUGAUACAAUACAAAUGGACAACAAUACAAUAAAAAAAGGUUACUCACACGAUGUCAACACGUAUGCUAGAGUGACCAAUAAAAUUAGACAAAUUUCAAAAUUGACAAUGGCAAAGUAUACGUACGUAGCAUAUAGCAAUCAAUCAGUAAAUAAAUUAUUCCUAAAGUAGUCAUGAUCAUCUUCAUAUACUAUAUAUGGUAAAAUACUAAGAUUAAGUCAAUAUAAUUCAGUCUAGUGUUUGGUAAUUUAUAACAAAUAGUGACAAUAUUAAUUAAUGGAAAUUGGAGCAGAAUGGUCAACGCAUACUUUUUAAUUUGGUUACCACUUUUUAAUAUCUUUAAAAGAAAAUUUAUAUAUUUAAAAUAUUACAAAAGUUAUUAUUAUUUGUAUAAAAUAAAAUAUUUUAAAAUAUAUUAGUAUCUUAGUAGAGAAAAGAUUGUUUGAUUUCCUAGAGUAAUAGAGCCCGCGUGAGUUAGCUGAUUAAUUUGAUAGUUUGAUAAAUUAAUUAAAAAAUUGGUCAAAUAAAAAUGUUGAUAAGCUAAAAAAAAAGUCAUAAGUUAGGAAUGACUAAUCUAUUGUAUAUAACUAAAUUGACUUAUAUAUGCACUUAGCUUAUAUAAAUACUUUGAUAUUUACUAAUACAUAAAUAAACUUUAUUUUAUUUAUAUAAAUCAGUUUGAUCAACUAAUAAUAAAUUGAUUACGCAUAAAAUAAGAGGAAGUGUUCUAAUUAAAAAAGACAAGGAAAAAGGUGCAGUACUGUGUACGAUCGACCAAACAUACAUGAGUUAUUAAUUAUAAUUAAGCUAAUUAGACAAUGCUAUCUUAUUAUAGAGCUGUCGAUAUUAAUUAGUUUAGAUAGUUAAAUUGUAUAUAAUUCAUUUAAUUCAAUCAAAGCUUUGACUUGUUAAAUGUUAGGUAUAUGAUAUGAUUUAUAUAUAUAUAUAUAUAUAUAGCGACUAGUUAAUCAAGACCUUAUUUAAGAUAUUGAUCAAGCUAUUAGUUAUUUAACUAAUACAAAUACAUUAAAUAAUAAAUGGUUAUUGAGAGAAAACUUCCAUGCAAUUAUUAUAACUAGAAACUUCUUAAGAAAUGGUCUCGAAUUAGAUAAUUUGGAUGGUGACGCUUUUGUUAAAAAAAAUAUUGAAUCAAGUCAAAAUUUUAUUGCUAUUAAUUGUGAAUUACAAUUUGUAGAAGGGGAGCAUAACCUAGAUAUUAAUUAUGUACAAGAUGAGUGUGUAAGAUUAGUUUUUUUUUGUUCCAAUUCGGUGUCCGGUAUUCAUAUUGGAGUCCCGACUAAAUUUAGAUUUGCGCCGGAAAGUCCACAUUGGGGGAUAAAGUGCUCCCUAACAAAGGCAACGACUCUGUACCCAGAGAGACUCAAACUCGAGACCUCUAGUCAAGGAAAAAGUAAGAUUUUUCUUGAUUAAUCUCUUGUCCUGAAGCUUGUUGAUACAAAUUCAAUUGUUUCAUAAGAAGCUUAAUCGAGCACUUAUCGCCAGAAGUAAACAAAACAAUAUCAUCAGCAUAACUAAGGUGAUUAAUCAGUGGUCCCUUGUUAUGCAUAGAGAAAUUAGUGAACCUCUGAUUAUGAUUCAAAUAAUUCAAGGCUAUAGAAAGAGUCUCAACGGCAAUAAUAAAAAGAGCAGGAGAUAAAGGAUUACUUUGUUUUAGACCGCUGGUUAAUUUAAAGAAACCAAAUCUUGUCCCAUUAACGAUCACAGAGUACCAAUUGUUCGCAAGCAUUCGAUAAACUAUUUCAAUAAAAACCUCAUGAGCAAAGCCCAUUUUCCUAACAACAGAAAUUAGAAAGUUCAAAGAUAGUUAAUAGCUAAAUUUGACACCAUUUCACUACGAAUAUUAUUAUAUCGCUAAUUCGAUUACAUAAAUUUUGUGAUGAAACCUUUUUAAUCAAAACUUACGCGAAUUUAAAGAUAAAUAAUGAUUUGUCAUAAAUUUUCAACAAAAGUAGCGAGAAAAAUGAUCAGAAUCAAUAUCCUCAAUUUCGUGGCUAAAAUUACCUAAUAAUUGACAAUAAUUAAUUUUUAUGGUGCAUGGGAAAGCUUUGUAGACAAAACAUUUUUAAUGAAAUUUAUUUUUGUCACUAAUAAAAGUAUGUAGCCGAUGCAUUUGAGGUUUGUUACAAGUUAUCAACAAAAUUAGGGAUGACACAGAUUAUAUUAUCACCAAUAUCUUCAAAUUAGUGACUAAAAUUAUUUGAUAAUUGACGUCAAUUCAUUAUUUGGAAGUCCAACCAUUGUUUGUUUCAAAGCUAGUGGAAGCAGAUAAAAGUGGAAACUCUUUUUGUUCAUCUAAUUAUCAGUUCAAUGCCUAUUACGAAAUAUUGUAAUAGUUACUACUUCUAGUCUCCACCCCCAACUUCAGGCCUUGCAACCACUACUCUGUAAUGAAGCAUAUUAGCUAUUAAUAUAAUAUCCUUGUUUAUAAAAAAAAAUAAUUAUGGAAAAGCUUUAUAGACAACAUAUUUGUUACAAAAUUUAUUUUUCAUCACUAAAAAUAUGUGACUCAUGCAUGAUGCAUGCAUUUGAGUACGAAAUUAUUUUUUGUCACAGAAAGUGCAUAAUUAAUGAUGAAUUUUCGACCAUAACUAAAAAUUUCGUGACCAAAGAUUUAAUUUAAACUUAAAACCAAAUUUAAAGAUGAUUAAAUUUGUGAUGUUGGUGCAAAAUGCACGUAUCAAACCCACCUUUAGGCCUAAGAAAAUGGUGAGCACUUCUCAACCAUCAUUCUCCAACUGAUUUCAUCUCUUCCUCAAUUAAUUAUGCAAAUAAUCAAAAUAUUUUUUUUCCACUCGAUGUUCGUAUUCCCUAUUUAAAUUCUAAUUAAAUCUGGAUUGCAAAUUGAAGGCCAGAGACCAUUUAAGGGUGACGCUUCCUACACGACUCAUGUAGUAACAAAAAAAUAUAAGAAACCACCGCAAUAAUAAUUCUUGGCUAGGUCAAUGUAACUAAGAUUUGUACUUGUUUAUACAUCCAUAUCUUUUAGGAGGAGUAACAAUAUUAAUUUAGCUUAACUAAUGGAAUCUUUUAAGGAGAUUAGUAAUUUAACCUUUGUCGGUGUUUAAGUUAUGAUGCUAAUCAUUAGCUGUUUUUUCAUUAAAAUGUCAAAUUUAAUGGAUGAACCAAAUAAAUUAUUAAAUAGUAGUUUUACUUGUUUACUUAAAAAUAUUUAAGUGAAAAAAAGGCACUUCUUUGGUUUAUUGCUCUCUCCUCUUAUGUAAUACUGUUCAACUUGAUACAAAGCUUAUGAAAAAAAAGAAAAUUUUAUUUAUUUAAUUUAGAUAAUAAACAAUACUAUUAUUAACAAAAUUCUUCUAUAAUUAUUGAUUUAAUUGCUGAAAUAUUUUAUCACCAACAUGACUUAAAAUUUAGACUCUUUAAAAGUGAAUUUUGUAUUUUUCAGGUCACUUAAUUUAGAUUCAUAUGGUGUGCUCAAUUGAUUAGACCGUCACACUUAUUACAAGUCAAAUAUAUAUAUUCACAAACAAGCCAUGCUAAAAUGUUUGAUAUUAAUAGUACUGAUGGUUACCUUUUCCCUUGAACUAACAAAUUAUUAUUCACUAAUUAACUUGUUGAGUGAAUUCUAAAGUAUUCAACAGCAAAUCCUAACAAAACUUGACAUCAAAUAUUAUUUAAUAAAUAAUCUAUUCUUAUAACAUAUAUUAGUGCGGGGACAGAGGUGAAUUCAGAACCUGAAUGUAGAUAACAUAUGUAGCAUCCUAGUCAUAGAGGAAAACUAUACUUAAUAAUUUACAAUUAGCAAAACUUCUACACAAGAUUAAUUAGAUUUGUAUAUAUAGUUGAUUUAUUCAAGGUUUUAGUUAGAAGAGGUCUAGGAUUCUAUUCUUCUUAUCCAUAUUUAUUAAACAAUAAAUUUGCUACAAAAGGAUGUCUCUGACAAAUCAUUUCUAUUAAAUAUGUGAUAAUGUUUUAAAUUUCUAUAUUCGUCAAUACCAUUUAAGCACUUGUGCGAAGGUUGGUUAAGUGAAAAGUUGAGGCAUCCACGAAUUUUUUUCAAAGAUUCUGUGAGAAGAAAACAAGACUUUGUAGCUCUUUGAAUCAUUCAGUCACAAACAGUAUAGUUCCCUUAAUAGUUUAUACCUUUGCUUAGCUUGAUGCCUCUAUCCAUCAAAUUAUUUUAAAUAUAUUAACUAAAGUCAAAAUUGAGCCAACACCAUGACAAGACCAAAUCAAAAUGCAUGACUCUACCAUAUUACCUACAUUUGUAUAAAUUUUGGUAAGGGUAAAUGUCUAAAUGAAAGCUAUAUAAAGGGGUUUGAGUGAAGCUUAAGAGCACAACAACUUCUCUUCUUCGUUUCAAAUAUGGGGGAAAUGGCCUCUCUUGUUGCUACUCUUUUAGUUGUUUUAGUGUCACUUAGCUUAGCUUCCGAAAGCUCAGCUAAUUAUCAAUACUCAUCUCCCCCACCACCAAAGGAGCCAUACCACCCUUCACCAACACCUUAUUAUCCCGCACCAGUUUACAAGUCUCCACCACCGCCAACUCCAAUUUACAAUUCUCCACCACCACCGAAGGAGACAUACUACCCUCCACACACUCCAGUGUACAAGUCGCCACCACCCCCGACACCAAUUUACAAGUCACCACCACCACCAAAGGAGCCAUACAACCCUCCACACACCCCAACCUACAAGUCGCCACCUCCACCAACUCCUGUUUACAAGUCUCCACCACCGCCAACUCCGGUUUAUAAUUCUCCACCACCACCGAAGGAGCCAUACUACCCUCCACAUACUCCAAUGUACAACUCACCACCACCACCCAAGGAGCCAUACUACCCUCCACACACCCCAACCGACAAGUCUCCACCUCCACCAACUCCCAUUUACAAGUCGCCACCACCACCAAAGGAGCCAUACUACCCUCCACACACUCCAAUUUACAAGUCACCACCUCCACCGACUCCAGUUUAUAAGUCUCCACCUCCACCAACUCCUGUUUACAAGUCGCCGCCACCACCUAAGGAGCCAUACUACCCUCCACACACUCCAAUUUACAAGUCACCACCUCCACCAACUCCAGUCUAUAAGUCACCACCACCACCCAAAGAGCCAUACUACCCUCCACACAGCCCAGUGUACAAGUUGCCACCUCCACCAACUCCUAUUUACAAGUCGCCACCACCGCCAAAUGAGCCAUACUAUCCUCCACACACUCCAGUCUACAAGUCGCCACCUCCACCAACUCCAGUCUAUAAGUCACCACCACCACCCAAAGAGCCAUACUACCCUCCACACACCCCAGUGUACAAGUCGCCACCUCCACCAACUCCCGUAUACAAUUCACCACCUCCACCAACUCCAGUCUAUAAGUCACCACCACCACCCAAAGAGCCAUACUACCCUCCACACACCCCAAUCUAUAAGUCACCACCUCCACCAACUCCCGUUUACAACUCACCACCUCCACCAACUCCAGUCUACAAGUCGCCACCACCACCCAAGGAGCCAUACUAUCCUCCACACACCCCGGCCUACAAGUCGCCACCUCCACCAACUCCCAUUUACAACUCUCCACCACCACCAACUCCAGUCUACAAGUCGCCACCACCACCCAAGGAGCCAUACUAUCCUCCACACACCCCAACCUACAAGUCACCACCACCACCCAAGGAACCAUAUUACCCUCCACAUACUCCAACCUACAAGUCGCCACCUCCACCAACUCCAGUCUACAAGUCUCCACCACCACCCCAUUAUCUUUACACCUCUCCCCCUCCUCCCUACCAUUACUAAGAAGAGAUUUCAUUAUAUCUGAGGUAAUAAAACCAAAUUAAAACUUUUAGUUAUGAUAUGUCUAUAGAAGUUGCACAAUUUCUUCGUACAAAUCAUUAAUAUAGACCUAUGCUGUCUACAUCUUAUUUUGUUUAGGUUCUAUUAUAUGUUCUCAUUCACAAUAUUAUAUUCUUAUGCAGGAAAGCAGAAUGUUGAGCUAAAGAAAAUAAGCCCACACAGGAGGCAAAGUACUUUUUUAGCUUCAUUUUGUAUAAGUUAUUGUUUGUACCCUAUAUUAUAUUUAUAUUUUACUUCUAUUUAUUUGUGUAAUAUGUUUGUUCGAUCUCCAUGCAAAUUGCAGAGAUUACGAGAUGUAUAAAAUAAGUUAUUACUAAAUGGUUUUAUGUUUUCCCUUCUCUCUACUCUUUCUUUUGGCCCUUUUUUUUAUUUUUGUCAUCCCUUAUAUUGAGUUAUUUAUAAGUUGAGGCACUCAUCAAUUACAUUAAAUCAGUUGCUAUAAAAAAUGUGGUUUUUAACCGUCAUAAAUUCAAUGAUAAGAUACAAUAAAAUCUAAAUUACAAUCAACUGGGAAUUAUAUUAGUAGCUCCAAUCUAAGUAACAAUCAAUCGGGAAUAUUAGUACCUUCAAUUAGUUCUUGAAUUGACCAUCGGAGAAAAAUUACAGAAUUACAUUUCUUUAUAUAAAAUUUUAUAAAGGAAAAAGUAAAUGCACCCACACAAAUUAUUGAAAUUAAAUAUUAUUACUUGUCCUAUUUCUCUUAUCUUGAUUAUUAGUUUUCAGGGAUGAAAAUUUAAUUGUUAGACCUUUCACUUUUUUAAAAAAAAAAGAAAAGAAUGAACAACCAACUGAUUUGGUAUCUGAUUGUGGUUGUUCAAGGCAUAUUAUAACGAUUAAAUUUUCGUUUUUGAAAAAUAAUAAUCAAGAAAAGAAAAAUAUGAGUAAAUAAUAAUAUUUAAUUUUAUUUAUUUGUGCAGGAUUUAACAAUCUUUAGAAAAUUUUAUACUAAAAUGUGUAAUUUUUGUUUUUUUUCUCUCCAUGACUGUCAACUCAAAAGUUUUGUUUUGUACCUGAAUUGAUGGAAUACUUGUUGGAAGUUUACCACGAAUGCAGAAUCAAGUUUUGAUCACAUUCGAGGAGGUAUAAAAUGACUCACCUCUUGGUGGCAAAAAAGAAUUGUAUGCAGAAGAUUGGCAUCAGCUAGAGUUUGAGAUAUUUGAUCUCCUUGCCAUUUUAGCCGACUUUGGAGUUGAGAUACAUGAGUUGGAUUGGGCUAGACUUGUAAGCUUAACGGACUAACCUAAAUUUAAUUAAACUUCAUUUAAAUCAUAAAAUUUGUAACUUAUUAUUAUUCCAACUUUAUUAUAAACAAUUUUUUUUUAACCAAAAAAUGAAGAAACAAAAUAGAACAUAAGAUCUCGAUCGUUGGACAAAUAUUUGUCUAUAAUAAAUAUGUCUGUACUAAUUGUUGACUAGGUCAAUGUAGCUAAGGUUUGUACUUGUUUAUACAUAUACAUCCAUAUCUCAUGGGACGAUUAAAAAUAAUAGUUUCGCUUAACUAAUGGAAUCUUAUAUGGAGUUUAGUAAUUUUACCUUUGCCGGUGAUUAAGUUAUACAAAUGAUUAAUUAUUUUUCUAAUUAAAAAGUCAAAGUCAUUAAUGGAUGAACCAAGAAUCGACCAUGUAUUUGAAUACUUUUUCCGUCUCCUUUUAGUUGUCAUGGUUUUCUUUUUUAGAGUCAAACAAUAAGAACUUUGACUAAUAUUUUACGAUGUAUUUUUUCAUCAUAUUGAUAAGCAAAAAAUUACAAUUUAUAUUAUUUUUCGUAUAGUUUUUGAAUAUCUAAAUUUUUAGUUUAAAAUAUCAAAUUAAUAUAAUUUAAUUUAACUUUAAAAAUUAGUCAAAUUAACUUUCAAAAACGCAACACAACAACUAAAACGUGACGGCUUCUUCUCUUCUUCUUUUAUUAUAAACAUUUAACUAAUGAAAAAAGAGGCACGUAUUUAGUUUGUUAGGUAGAGAAAAGAUAAAAAGAAAUAUAUAAAAGAGGAAGUAAAUGAGUAUAAUAAUUUGAGAAAAUGAAAGAAGGUGAUGUAAUGGUGCAAAUCAAUAAUGUUAAUUAUUUAUUCAAAGUUUAAAAACAUAAAAGUGAAAAGUAUAAAGCCUUGAACCGACUCGAUUCAUUUAAUUCUAUUUACUUCGUAUUUUCAAAAUUUUAAGAGAACUACAAAAACAACUAUAAAUUCCAACAUUUAAAACUAACAUAAGCGUUAUUAGAAUGGCCUUAUCUAACACGCAUUUGAAUUAGUCGUGCUCAAAUACAAAUACUAAACAAUACUCUCUCUGUCCCAAUUUAUAUGACACCUUUUAUGUUUUGAGAGUCAAACAGUUAAAGUUUGACCGGAAAUUUACGCAUGGAAUCUUCAAUUUUUUUGAAAUGAAAUUUAUAUAUUUGUAAACUAUGUAAAAGUACUAUGAGUCACAAUAAUUGAUAAUUCAAAAUGUUUAAAAGAUCUAUGAAAAAUUUACGGUCAAAGAUAGACUUGUUUGACUCUUGAAAUCCGAAAGAUGACAUAUAAAAUGGGACGGAGGUAGUAGAUAAAUUAUGCAAUGGAGUAAUUAAACUAUAAUUAUAUAUUAAGUAAUUAAAUCAAAUCAUGUAAUUUAAUUAAUUAUACUACCAAAAUAUUAACUUCAACGAUACGAAGUAACAUAAUGUACCUUUAAAGUUUCACAAAAUUCAAUUAGUUUUUGAGGUUGAUUCUUGAAAUUUAGGAAUUAUUUUCAAGUGAUUUGAGUACAUUGACGUACCUAAGUCUUUCCAAAAACUCUCAAUAAAGUCUAAAAUAAAGUAAUUUUUUAUUUCUAUCGUGACCUGUAUUCUACAUCUUGUGUGUUCCCAUGAUAACAAACUAAGAUACCAAAAUUUUCAUAGAUAUUAUAUUUAAUCAUAUAAUUUUUUCAAUAUUGAGCUACAUAAUCCGUUGAAUUUUUUGCCCUCUAUUCCCACUAAAACUAAAAAGAAAGAACAACAUUAAUUGUUUAAUUUGGUAAUGAAAGUGGGUCACCUUUUUCUCUAGAUCAUUAAACUCUUUAACAUUACAAUAAUCUAUCAUUUGUUCCAUAUGAUAUAUAUGUAUUAUUGUAUUAAAUUUCUCUAAAUCUCUAAACUAUUUAAGCACUUAGGUAAUUAAAGGUUAGUUCAUCAAUCAGAAUCCACAAAAAUUAUUAUUCCUUUCGUUUCAUAUUAGUUGAUCGUCUUACUAAAAAUAGUUGUCACACAUUAGUUAUCCACCUUACUGAAUCAACAAAGCAAUAAUUAAUUUUUUCCUAUAUUAUCCUUGCAAUUAAUUCCUUUUGACAGUGUUCACAUUUAUUUGUAAAAUUUCCAAGAAGUUUUCUAGAGGUGAAUUAAUAAAAUUAUCUAGUUAAUAAAAAUGACCAACUAAUAUGGGACGGAAAGUAAUAAAAUUCUUCAAAUAUUUAGUGUAACAAAAAAAAAGAAAUAAAAAGCAGAGUACACUGAUUUUUGUAACUAAAAAAUCGUGCGAAGUUGAGGGAUGCACGCAUUUUUUUCAAAGAUUGUGUAAGCAUGUAAUGUAAAAGCUUGGAAGAAAAAGAAGACUUUGUAGCUCUUUGAAUUAUUGCAUCACAAGAUGUAAAGAAAAUAGUAUGGUUGUCUUAAUUGUUUAUACAUUUUUGCUUAGCUUGCAGCCUCUAUCCAAUAAAAUAAAGUCAAAUUGAUCCAACACCAUGACAAAACCAAUUAUCAAAAUGCAUAAAAACUCUUAACAUUUUACCUACAUUUAUGUAAAUCUUGGUAAGGGUAAUUGUCGAAAUGAAAGUUAUAUAAAGAGGUUUGAGUGAAGCUUAGGAGCACAACAACUUCUCUUCUUCGUUUCAAAUAUGGGGAAAAUGGCCUCUCUUGUUGCUACUCUUUUAGUUGUUUUAGUGUCACUUAGCUUAGCUUCCGAAAGCUCAGCUAAUUAUCAAUACUCAUCUCCCCCACCACCAAAGAGGCCAUACCACCCUUCACCAACACCUUAUCAUCCCGCACCAGUUUACAAAUCACCACCACCACCAACUCCAGUUUACAAGUCACCACCACCACCCGAGGAGCCAUACUAUCCUCCACACACCCCAGUUUACAAGUCUCCACCUCCCCCGACUCCGGUUUACAAGUC
rnacentral:lncRNA from 1 species